AUACGUAGGUGACAAGCGUUAUCCGGAUUUACUGGGCGUAAAGGGCGUGUAGGCGGUCUUGCAAGUCAGAAGUGAAAUUCCUGAGCUCAACUCGGGCGCUGCUUCUGAAACUGCAGGACUUGAGUGCUGGAGGGGAUAGCGGAAUUCCUAGUGGAGCGGUAAAAUGCGCAGAUAUUAGGAAGAACACCGGUGGAGAAGGCGGCUAUCUGGACAGUAACUGACGUGGAGGAGCGAAAGCGGGGGGAGCAAACAGGAUUAGAUCCCCUGUUAGUCCACGUCGUAAACGAUGAAUACUAGGUGUGGGGGGAAUGACCCCCUCCGUGCCGCAGUUAACACAGUAAGUAUUCCACCUGGGGAGUACGGCCGCAAGGUUGAAACUCAAAUGAAUUGACGGGG
rnacentral:rRNA from 1 species